rnacentral:lncRNA from 1 species
UUUAGAAAACUAAUUAAUAAGUCAAGUAAGAAUAUUCUGCCACUUUCAAUGCGCUUACUAUUCUCGCAUUAUAUAAAAUCAACGAUUUCAAAAAUUGAAUUAUUUUUAAUUGAGCAUGCUUAAUAAGGGUUAGGAGCACUCUAAAUAGCGACGGAGCCUACGUUGAACAAGCGCUUGUCAGCACGAUCCAUGAACAGGAUUGGCAUGGAGACGAAAACCUUGUUGGAAGUCAGAUCAUUGUAAAAGGAACCUCCGGUUUAAUUACAAAAGAAAGCCAGCACACAUGCUUCCCACAACUUCCCUAUCCAAAAAGGAUCGCCUACGCUCGAGAAUAUACAAAGCGACGACGUCAUGAUCCGUCUCUUUUCCGAUCGCGAUCUCGUCGCCUCGUCCUUCUCCGGCUCAUCACCAGGGCACGAACCGGUCCAUGAGCAAGCACACGGUGGCCUCCGAAAUGGUGCUCUCCGCCGGAACCUCUUCCUUCUUGGCCGGGGACGAGUCCUUCCGUUCGGCUCUGGCCGAUUCCUUGCGUUCUUGCUCCGACUUCGACUUCGACCCGAGUAACUUCUGGACUGCAACCCUUUCUCUGAGCCUGGCGAGUUCAGAUUCCCAGAUCUCUACUAAUGCAGACAUUGUCUUGACCCUUCUGCUUUGUGGAACAAUGUUUUUUGGCCUUUUGGGUGGGAGUGUUUGUAUGGAAUUGCUGUGGAAUGAGGAGAGAAAUGAUGGGGGACUUUUAUAGUGGAGAGGACAAGGUUUGAAUGGGGUGUGGUUUUGAGGUAUUUACUAUUUAGGGUUUCUCUAGAAAUAGGUGGGAGAGAGUAAAUCCGUGUGUGGACAAGCACACAGGAUACAGCCGCA